rnacentral:antisense_RNA from 1 species
GCCGCGGAGCAGGCGUGCGCUGUGUCCCGC